AUUGAACGCUGGCGGCAUGCCUUACACAUGCAAGUCGAACGGUAACAGGGAGCUUGCUCCGCUGACGAGUGGCGAACGGGUGAGUAAUGUAUCGGAACGUACCUCUCAGUGGGGGAUAACGUAGCGAAAGUUACGCUAAUACCGCAUAUUCUGUGAGCAGGAAAGCAGGGGAUCGCAAGACCUUGCGCUGAUUGAGCGGCCGAUAUCAGAUUAGCUAGUUGGUGAGGUAAAGGCUCACCAAGGCGACGAUCUGUAGCGGGUCUGAGAGGAUGAUCCGCCACACUGGAACUGAGACACGGUCCAGACUCCUACGGGAGGCAGCAGUGGGGAAUUUUGGACAAUGGGGGCAACCCUGAUCCAGCCAUGCCGCGUGAGUGAAGAAGGCCUUCGGGUUGUAAAGCUCUUUCGGCCGGGAAGAAAUCGCAUGGGUUAAUACCCUGUGCGGAUGACGGUACCGGCAUAAGAAGCACCGGCUAACUACGUGCCAGCAGCCGCCGUAAGAC
rnacentral:rRNA from 1 species